AGAGUUUGAUCAUGGCUCAGGAUGAACGCUAGCGACAGGCUUAACACAUGCAAGUCGAGGGGCAGCAUGAUUUGUAGCAAUACAGAUUGAUGGCGACCGGCGCACGGGUGAGUAACGCGUAUGCAACUUACCUAUCAGAGGGGGAUAGCCCGGCGAAAGUCGGAUUAAUACCCCAUAAAACAGGGGUCCCGCAUGGGAAUAUUUGUUAAAGAUUCAUCGCUGAUAGAUAGGCAUGCGUUCCAUUAGGCAGUUGGCGGGGUAACGGCCCACCAAACCGACGAUGGAUAGGGGUUCUGAGAGGAAGGUCCCCCACAUUGGUACUGAGACACGGACCAAACUCCUACGGGAGGCAGCAGUGAGGAAUAUUGGUCAAUGGCCGAGAGGCUGAACCAGCCAAGUCGCGUGAAGGAAGAAGGAUCUAUGGUUUGUAAACUUCUUUUAUAGGGGAAUAAAGUGGGGGACGUGUCCUUUUUUGUAUGUACCCUAUGAAUAAGCAUCGGCUAACUCCGUGCCAGCAGCCGCGGUAAUACGGAGGAUGCGAGCGUUAUCCGGAUUUAUUGGGUUUAAAGGGUGCGUAGGUGGUGAUUUAAGUCAGCGGUGAAAGUUUGUGGCUCAACCAUAAAAUUGCCGUUGAAACUGGGUUACUUGAGUGUGUUUGAGGUAGGCGGAAUGCGUGGUGUAGCGGUGAAAUGCAUAGAUAUCACGCAGAACUCCGAUUGCGAAGGCAGCUUACUAAACCAUAACUGACACUGAAGCACGAAAGCGUGGGGAUCAAACAGGAUUAGAUACCCUGGUAGUCCACGCAGUAAACGAUGAUUACUAGGAGUUUGCGAUACAAUGUAAGCUCUACAGCGAAAGCGUAAAGUAAUCCACCUGGGGAGUACGCCGGCAACGGUGAAACUCAAAGGAAUUGACGGGGGCCCGCACAAGCGGAGGAACAUGUGGUUUAAUUCGAUGAUACGCGAGGAACCUUACCCGGGUUUGAACGUAGUCUGACCGGAGUGGAAACACUCUUUCUAGCAAUAGCAGAUUACGAGGUGCUGCAUGGUUGUCGUCAGCUCGUGCCGUGAGGUGUCGGCUUAAGUGCCAUAACGAGCGCAACCCUUAUCACUAGUUACUAACAGGUGAAGCUGAGGACUCUGGUGAGACUGCCAGCGUAAGCUGUGAGGAAGGUGGGGAUGACGUCAAAUCAGCACGGCCCUUACGUCCGGGGCGACACACGUGUUACAAUGGCAUGGACAAAGGGCAGCUACCUGGUGACAGGAUGCUAAUCUCCAAACCAUGUCUCAGUUCGGAUCGGAGUCUGCAACUCGACUCCGUGAAGCUGGAUUCGCUAGUAAUCGCGCAUCAGCCAUGGCGCGGUGAAUACGUUCCCGGGCCUUGUACACACCGCCCGUCAAGCCAUGGGAGCCGGGGGUACCUGAAGUCCGUAACCGCAAGGAUCGGCCUAGGGUAAAACUGGUGACUGGGGCUAAGUCGUAACAAGGUA
rnacentral:rRNA from 1 species